GCCGUCCGCCCGGCCCCGCUGCCCCCCAGGAAAGGUGCCACGGAGAGCUCGUAGCAUAGAUCUCAUCCUCCCCUGUCUGUCUCAGCUUAUUGUACUUACAGAAUUGAAGACAGUUUGCUGGUUAACAAUGCCUGCAAAAAUUGCUUUGCAACCGGGUUUUCCUAUCAGUCGAUUAACCUUCAUGUGCCACAUUGUUUGUUAUUGAUUUCUCAGUCAUGGGACGAAAGGAAAGUCACGUCAUUCAGGAUAAAUUCACACAGGAAUUAGACAGGAAUGAGUAGAAAAUUGGGUGAUAGAAGUAAAUGACCUUGUUACGGCCAACACGACGUGGGAAUAAGUAAGGACAAAGAACUAAGAAGCAAAAUGCGUGAUGUGUCUGCGAGCUUCUCUCACUAGAACUAGAAUAUUUUUAGAUAUUCUUAAUAAUGUAUUAAAAAUAGAGAGCCCUGAUGCAGUCUCAAGAGUAGGAAAGGAGGAGGUGACGUGCAAAAGAACAGAAAUGAGCAAGUAAAACACAGUUACCAUAUGAAAAUAAUAACAAAGGUAGGAGAAAGCAGGAAAAAGAACAGAUAGCACGGAAAAACUGCAGGCAAUGGGACUUGUGAAAAAUAAUGCAACUGGAGAACUUGAUGUAAUGGAACACUUCUUUUUAAUGGAUUAAAAGUCUUUAAAAAGCACCUUCCUAAAGAUGAUAUCUUCUCUGGGGAUUUGUUUUAAUUGCUAAUGGUCUGAAAUGAAUAUUGAAGAAGCUUAGUGGUAAGGCUUAUGUGGCUAGAUUUUUUUUUUCCCCUGCUUCUUACUGAAAGCUUUGUGCAUUGUCAUUAAUAGCAUAUAAGCUUUUUGUAAAAACUAAUUAUUUGUGCAUAGUUCUCGCUGUAGCCUGCUGUAUCUCUUUUAAUGUUGAUUCGGAUAUGGAAGCAUGCAUCCUGAAGUCCUGUCACACUGGAAUUAACUUUAUAUUUCAGCAUGCUACUGCAAAAAUAAAUUUCAGGGAGAGAAUUGUUUGUUGUUUUUUUUCUUUUGUUUCAAAUUAACUACGAGUGCCAAAUAGUUUUCAAAAAGAAAUGUGCAGCUGCCAAACCUAGAUAGCUGAUGGAAUUUUCCGUGGUUGCUGUUGACCGAGAUUUUACUGUCAGGAGUUGAUAUCAAGAUGAGUGCUAUAUUUUCAGGGCAGAAAUUAGUUCUGCAUGUUGGAUGUUUCCUCUGUUUCUUUUUGAUGCAGAAAGGCUAGAAACCAGCUGUUCAGAAGUCAAAUAGCACUUGGUUAAGAGUGGAGGAAGGCAAAGCUUAUUUGGGGGAUGGGACCUCAUACUGUCUAGAUGAUGAGUCCUCUGUUCUCUCU